UACGAAGGGGGCUAGCGUUGCUCGGAAUCACUGGGCGUAAAGGGUGCGUAGGCGGGUUCUUAAGUCAGAGGUGAAAUCCUGGAGCUCAACUCCAGAACUGCCUUUGAUACUGAGAGUCUUGAGUACGGGAGAGGUGAGUGGAACUGCGAGUGUAGAGGUGAAAUUCGUAGAUAUUCGCAAGAACACCAGUGGCGAAGGCGGCUCACUGGCCCGUUACUGACGCCGAGGCACGAAAGCGUGGGGAGCAAACAGG
rnacentral:rRNA from 1 species